rnacentral:rRNA from 1 species
UACGUAGGGGGCAAGCGUUGUCCGGAAUCAUUGGGCGUAAAGAGCGUGUAGGCGGCCCGGUAAGUCCGCUGUGAAAGUCAUGGGCUCAACCCAUGAAAGCCGGCCGAUACUGUCGGACUAGAGUCCGGAAGAGGCGAGUGGAAUUCCCGGUGUAGCGGUGAAAUGCGCAGAUAUCGGGAGGAACACCAAUGGCGAAGGCAGCUCGCUGGGACGGUACUGACGCUGAGGCGCGAAAGCGUGGGGAGCAAACAGG